UACGUAGGUGGCAAGCGUUGUCCGGAUUUACUGGGCGUAAAGAGCGCGCAGGCGGUCGUUCAAGUCGAGUGUGAAAGCCCCCGGCUCAACUGGGGAGGGUCACUCGAUACUGAUCGACUCGAAGGCAGAAGAGGGAAGCGGAAUUCCCGGUGUAGUGGUGAAAUGCGUAGAUAUCGGGAGGAACACCCGUGGCGAAGGCGGCUCUCUGGGACGGUACUGACGCUGAGACGCGAAAGCGUGGGGAGCGAACAGG
rnacentral:rRNA from 1 species